GAGCAAGACCGCGUGAGGGAGGAAGGCUCUUGGGUUGUAAACCUCUUUUCUUAGGGAAGAAAAAAAUGACGGUACCUAAGGAAUCAGCAUCGGCUAACUCCGUGCCAGCAGCCGCGGUAAUACGGAGGAUGCAAGCGUUAUCCGGAAUCAUUGGGCGUAAAGCGUCCGCAGGCGGCCUGAUAAGUCUGUUGUCAAAGCGUGGAGCUCAACUCCAUUUCGGCAAUGGAAACUGUGAGGCUUGAGUGUGGUAGGGGCAGAGGGAAUUCCCGGUGUAGCGGUGAAAUGCGUAGAUAUCGGGAAGAACACCAGUGGCGAAGGCGCUCUGCUGGGCCAUAACUGACGCUCAUGGACGAAAGCCAGGGGAGCGAAAGGGAUUAGAUACCCCUGUAGUCCUGGCCGUAAACGAUGAACACUAGGUGUCGGGGGUAUCGACCCCCUCGGUGUCGCAGCCAACGCGUUAAAUGUUCCGCCUGGGGAGUACGCACGCAAGUGUGAAACUCAAAGGAAUUGACGGGGGCCCGCACAAGCGGUGGAGUAUGUGGUUUAAUUCGAUGCAACGCGAAGAACCUUACCAGGGCUUGACAUCCUGCGAAUCCCUUGGAAACUUGGGAGUACCUUCGGGAGCGCAGUGACAGGUGGUGCAUGGCUGUCGUCAGCUCGUGUCGUGAGAUGUUGGGUUAAGUCCCGCAACGAGCGCAACCCACGUCUUUAGUUGCCAGCAUUCAGUUGGGCACUCUAGAGAGACCGCCGGUGAUAAACCGGAGGAAGGUGUGGAUGACGUCAAGUCAUCAUGCCCCUUACAUCCUGGGCUACACACGUACUACAAUGCUACGGACAAAGGGCAGCAAACUCGCGAGAGCUAGCAAAUCCCAUAAACCGUGGCUCAGUUCAGAUCGUAGGCUACAACUCGCCUACGUGAAGGAGGAAUCGCUAGUAAUCGCAGGUCAGCAUACUGCGGUGAAUACGUUCCCGGGCCUUGUACACACCGCCCGUCACACCAUGGAAGUUGGCCACGCCCGAAGCCGUUACUCCAACCCUUGUGGAGGAGGACGUCGAAGGUGGGGCUGAUGACUGGGGUGAAGUCGUAACAAGGUAGCCGUACCGGAAGGUG
rnacentral:rRNA from 1 species